rnacentral:rRNA from 1 species
AGAGUUUGAUCCUGGCUCAGGAUGAACGCUGGCGGCGUGCUUAACACAUGCAAGUCGAACGAAGCACUUAAGACGGAUUACUUCGGUUUGAAGUCUUAUUUGACUGAGUGGCGGACGGGUGAGUAACGCGUGGGUAACCUGCCUCAUACAGGGGGAUAACAGUUAGAAAUGACUGCUAAUACCGCAUAAGCGCACGGUCUCGCAUGGGACGGUGUGAAAAACUCCGGUGGUAUGAGAUGGACCCGCGUCUGAUUAGCUAGUUGGCGAGGUAAGGGCUCACCAAGGCGACGAUCAGUAGCCGGCCUGAGAGGGUGAACGGCCACAUUGGGACUGAGACACGGCCCAAACUCCUACGGGAGGCAGCAGUGGGGAAUAUUGCACAAUGGGGGAAACCCUGAUGCAGCGACGCCGCGUGAAGGAAGAAGUAUUUCGGUAUGUAAACUUCUAUCAGCAGGGAAGAAAAUGACGGUACCUGACUAAGAAGCCCCGGCUAGCUACGUG